rnacentral:misc_RNA from 1 species
CCCGCCAUCAACCUUGUUUUCCUCGGCUUAAACCUAUGUCUUGUUAGCUUAGAAUCAACUGUCCAUUUGGGUGUUGACUCCACUGAAAGACACUGAUCGAUAUGAGCAUUCAAAGUAGUGUUAGAUGUGGACGAGAAGGUUUUGCAAACAGGGCAAACUUUGGAAGCCAUUGUUUCUGAGACAGUAGUAGAAUUAGAAGCUAUAUCUUCAGUUGAGUUACGAUCAGAGUUGCCACCAAAUUUCACUAUCAACCUGCACUUCUUGCUCAAUGGCCUGGAGGUGCUCUCAGUCUUCUUAUUCCCAGAAGGUCCCGCAGCCUCAACUGCAAUUGAGUUUUUCC